GCCCCCGCUAGCCCCGGCUCCGCUCCGCCCGCGGCGCCUCCUCCCCGCCGCCGCCGCCAGCUCCGCCCCGGGGCUGCUCCAAACCACUUCGCUGUCUUUCGGAUGUCACGUCUUGGCAUCUUCAUUUAUCUGCUUCAAAACGCAUCGUUGAGGAAGGAGUGAACGGAGUGCAGUUGGUCAGUCGUUCCCUGAGUUCCCUUUCUCAGUCCUUCUAAAUGUUUUUGAUGUAUGUUGUUUUUUCCUAGCUACGACCACCAUCCCUCAACUCUGAUGAUCCUUGAAAGAUGACAGAGAGAUGUAUCAAAACGACGUCAUCCUAUCAAUCACCGUUGGAUGCAUCCCAGAUCAUUUCAAAGACACAAAUGCCUUCCAGGAGUAAUGGGAGUGACAUAAAUCAGGAUGUGACAAGUAGCAGCACAGGAAACCAACACGCAGUCCAUACCAAUAGCCCAUACCAACGGGAUGUUUUGCAUUCAAGAGGUUCUUGUCAUAAAAUAACCACUGCUGCAAGGGAUGCCUGUGGAAAUGGAGCAGCUUGAGUCCACUAUAAAAGCCAGCCCAUCUCCUUACUCUCUCAUCCACUUCUCUUGCCUCCUUCUUCUGGGGAAUCAGGUGAGUGUGAAGCCCCUUCUUGUUCUCUUCAUUCUGCAAACAGAGUUCUGAGCUCAGUGGAACUCUCAGCUGCUAUUAGCUCUAUUCCGUGCCUGACUCUGCUUGUCAUGAGAGAGGGAAGUGGGGAGAAUGUUUGUCAUGGGAGGAGGGUAGGCCUGUAAGGAGAUGGCAUGUGGGCUAGUGUCAAGGCAGUAGCUGCAUAGGUCUGAGUGACUUUCACUGGGCUCUGUCAGGAUGAGACCAAGAAUCCCUUGGACAUCCCUCAACUGUUUUCAGUUCCCAGCACUGUAUGUGCAUGGAUUCCCUCACAGCAUGAUGCUAGGCUGUUUCUCAUGCAUCCCUAUGUUCUGCUUCCUUCCUGCUCUCUCCAAACAGGUGCACCUCCAUUCCUGAGACAUGUCCUGCUGUGACCAGUGCCAGCCAUGCCGGCCCUGUGGCCCGACUCCUCUGGCCAGCAGCUGCAAUGAGCCCUGUGUCAGGCAGUGCCAGAACUCCACCAUCGUCAUCCAGCCCUCUCCCGUGGUGGUGACCCUGCCCGGACCCAUCCUCAGCUCCAGCUCUGAGGGCGUGCCCAUCACGUCGGGGGGCUUGGACCUCUCCUGCAUUUCCAACCGCUACUGUGGCAGAAGGUGCACCCCCUGCUAAUUGUGCUGGAUGGUGCCCCAGACAAGGAUCCCAGGAAUGCUGAACAUGGCAUUGGUCUGAAAAAGGAAUGUGUUGCUGUUUUUGCCCUGCAAGACAGACAUGUAGUGGCCAG
rnacentral:lncRNA from 1 species